GUAAGAUCCCAGUUAUACAUAUCCAGGAAGAUUUAUAUUCAGAAUAUUUUUCUACAAAAAAUAAUCAUCAGAGAUUGCAAAAUACAUUGAAUCAUUACAAAAAGGUUACUUGUACCAUACACUGACUGUAUAAAAAAGUGGUGUACUUUAGAUUUUGCUUUAAUUAUAUGACAUACAUGAAUUGUACUAUAUUUUCUGAUCAACAUUAGCAUGACUGUUAAAGUGUUCAUAGUAAUUCUAAUAUAGUGUGUUAACAAUGAGCUGGGCUUAUUCCUUCCUACAUUCUUUUGACCAAUGAGCUCUGUCUUAUUCCAAGACUAAUGUGAUCUAUUAGCUAUUUUAUUCAUUCUACCAUUUGUGUGAACUAUGAGAUAUGUAUUCAUUCUAUUAUUUGUGUUAACAAUGAGAUGUUCUUAUACAUUUCAAGAUUAGUGUGAACAUUGACUUCCUCUUAUUUAUUCUACUAUCUGUAUUACCAUUUAUCUGUUCUUAUUCAUUCCACUAUUUGUGUUACCAAUGAUCUUUUCUCAUUUAUUCCAUCAUUUUUGUGACCAGUGAAUGAGUCUUAUUAAUUUGGCGUUUCAAAAUCUAAUGCAUCCUGGGUAAUAUUUUCAAAAGUGUACACCAAAACAUCCUGAUUGGUUAAAAAUGUCAUAAACAAUGGAAAUUUAACCAAUGACGUGACAUUAUUUACAUUUUGGGGUACGAACAAUGAAAUUACCCAUGAUGGUUUAGAUUCUGAAACGGCCAAUUUGACCAUCUGUGUUUCCAAUGAGCUAUUAUUAUUGCUUCUGUGUUACAAAUGAGCUGUUUAAAUUUAUUCCACCAUUUGUGGCACAAAUGAUCUCAUUCCAUCAUCUGUGUAACCAAUGAACCGGUCUUAUUAAUUCUAUCCUUUGUGCGAGCACAGCUAUUCUUAUAGAUUCCAUUAAUAGUGUGAACAAUGAGCUGUUCUUAUUCAUUCCACCAUCUCUGUAAUGAAUUAGCUGUUCUUAUCUUUUCCUUCAUUUGUGUGAACCAUGAGCUGAUCUUUUUCGUUCUACCAUUUGUGUGAAGCAUGAGAUUUUCUUAUUUAUUCUACUUUUUGUGUGAGCAUUGAUGUGUUAUUUUUCAUUCUUCCAUUUGUCUGACCAAUGACCUGAUCUUAUGCAUUCUAAGCAUUAUGUGACCAAACAAGUGUUCUUAUUUAUCAAUAGCAUAAUUAACCUAUCAAGUGUUCUUAUUUAACCAAAUCAUAGUAUGAUCUAUAAAAUUGCUAAUUGCUCAGUAGCAGAGUGUGACCAAUGAUUUUCUAAUUUAUUCAACUAAGGUGUGACCAUUAAAAUUUGCGUAAUUCAUCCCAAUGUGACCAUUCAAAUUUGAAUAUUUAUCUCAAGCAUAAAAUGAAUAAUAAAAUUUGCAUAAUUAAUCCCAAUGUGACCAUUCAAAUUUGAAUAUUUAUCUCAAGCAUAAUAUGACUAAUAAAAUUUGCAUAAUUAAGCCCAAUGUGACUAUUCAAAUUUGAAUAUUUAUCUCAAGCAUAAUUUGACUAAUAAAAUUUGCAUAAUUAAUCUCAAUGUGACCAUUCAAAUUUGAAUAUUUAUCUCAAGCAUAAUAUAACUAAUAGAAUUUGCAUAAUUAAUCUCAAUGUGACCAUUCAAAUUUGAAUAUUUAUCUCAAGCAUAAUAUGACUAAUAAAAUUUGCAUAGUCAUCCUAUGCUUAUUUUGACUAUCAAUGUUGCCUAAUUAUCAGAAGAAUAGUGUGAUCAAAUAAAAAUUGCUUGUAUAUACCCUUAAGCAUAGCACAACUCCUGAAAUUUGCUUAUUUAACCCAACCAUAAAAAGUGACCAAUGAAUGUUGCUAAUUUAUCAAAGUAUUUUGUGACCAUGGAAGUUUGCUUAUUUAUCUAUUGGCAUAUUGUGACCAAUGGACCUGGCUUUUUGAUUCCAUGCAUAGUGUUACCAAUACAUUUUGCUUAUAUCACAAGCAUAGUGUGCCCAAUACAUUUUGCUUAUAUCCCAAGCAUAGUGUGACCAAUACAUUUUGCUUAUAUCCCAAGCAUAGUGUGACCAAUAAAUUUUGCUUAUAUCCCAAGCAUAGUGUGACCAAUACAUCUUGCUUAUAUCCAAAGCAUAGUGUGGCCAAUACAUUUUACUUAUAUCCCAAGCAUAGUGUGGCCAAUACAUUUUACUUAUAUCCCAAGCAUAGUGUGUCCAAUACAUUUUACUUAUAUCCCAAGCAUAGUGUGACCAAUACAUUUUGCUUAUAUCCCAAGCAUAGUGUGACCAAUACAUUUCGCUUAUAUCCCAAGCAGUGUGUGACCAAUACAUUUCGCUUAUAUCCCAAGCAUAGUGUGGCCAAUACAUUUUGCUUAUAUCCCAAGCAUAGUGUGACCAAUACAUUUCGCUUAUAUCCCAAGCAGUGUGUGACCAAUACAUUUUGCUUAUAUCCCAAGCAUAGUGAGGCCAAUACAUUUUGCUUAUAUCCCAAUCAGUGUGUGACCAAUACAAUUUGCAUAUAUUCAUCCAAUGCAUAGUGUGACAAUGAAAGUUGUUUAUUUAUGGAAGCAUUAUGUGAACAAUGAAAUUUGCUUAUUUUUAUCCAUAGCAUAGCAUGAUCAAUGAAAUUUGCUUAUUUAUCCCAAGCAUAGAGUGGCCAAUAACAUUUUCUUAUAUAUCCAAGCAAAAAUGUUCAUGUAUUGCUUUGAUGUUUGACUGCAUUUUUAACAUUUUUUCUAUCCAUAAACCAUCUGUUAUAAAGUAGAUUAUCAUAUAUCAUUCAUUCCUUAUUCAUUUUAUUCUAUGAACAUGUAACUGUUAUUCACAUUCUACUUCAUUGUAGUCUUUUAUAUAUUUCCAUUGCUGGGUGUUAAUCAUGAAAUGCUGUAAUAUUACUCUUGCUUGCUUCAUUCUUUUUUAAAUGAGUUUUAUGUGCAUCUCUCUUAAAGUUAGUGAUUACAUUUCUUUACUAAAAAAGGCUUUAUCAUUGAAGUUGAAUUCCACUUCAAAAAGUAUAUAUAAAUU
rnacentral:lncRNA from 1 species